AAGGAAUAUUUGUUUAAGAAGAAGCUGCUAACUAUCUUUUAUAAUGGUUAAAUUCCAUUUUUUCCUUG
rnacentral:tRNA from 1 species